rnacentral:sRNA from 1 species
CCUUCUACGCCCCUCCCAAUCUCCACUUCCCCCGCAACCUCAUCUCUGCCGACGACGCUGGCUCCCUCGCCAUUUUUGACGCAAACGGCUUUGUCCAUCUUACCACGCUCUCCGGCCACUGCAACGGUGGUAUCAACGACCUCGCCUCUACAACUGUCCGGUGAGCGCGACCGAUAAAAUUGAAGAUGUUUGUUCAGGCUUUGAAGGAUGCUUGAAUAGAGGAGUUCUCUUUGUCAGCUUAGCGAGGAAGCAAGUGGGAGCAAUGAUUCUUG